rnacentral:rRNA from 1 species
CAAGGAACUAAGAGUUUAUGGGGGAUACCUUGGCAUUCAGAAGCGAUGAAGGACGUGGUUACCGACGAUAUGCUUCGGGGAGCUGGAAACAAGCUAUGAUCCGGAGGUUUCCGAAUGAGGCAACUUUUUAACUACUUAUUGAAUUCAUAGAUAAGAAAGAGCAAACCUAGAGAAUUGAAACAUCUUAGUACCUAGAGGAAAAGAAAGUAAAAACGAUUCCCUGAGUAGCGGCGAGCGAAACGGGAUUAGCCUAAACUUAAUUAUAAAUUAAGGGUAGUGGGACAAUAAUAAAGAAUUUAAUGGAACGAUUAGAGGAAUAAGUUUGGAAUACUUAACCAUAGAGAGUGAUAGUCUCGUACUCGAAAAUUGAACCAAUUCAAUUGUAUCCCAAGUAGCAUGGAGCACGUGAAAUUCCGUGUGAAUCUGCGAGGACCACCUCGUAAGGCUAAAUAUUCCUGAAUGACCGAUAGUGAAACAGUACCGUGAGGGAAAGGUGAAAAGAACCCCGGGAGGGGAGUGAAAAGAACAUGAAACCAUAAACUUACAAGCAGUAGGAGGACGACUUAACGUCUGACUGCGUGCCUGUUGAAGAAUGAGCCGGCGACUUAUAGUUAGUGGCAGGUUAAAGUAGUGAAUACUGAAGCCACAGUGAAAGCGAGCCUGAAUAGGGCGUUUGUCACUAGUUAUAGACCCGAACCCGGAUGAUCUAACCAUGGUCAGGUUGAAGCUCAGGUAAUACUGAGUGGAGGACCGAACCGACUGAUGUUGAAAAAUCAGCGGAUGAAUUGUGGUUAGGGGUGAAAUGCCAAUCGAAUUCGGAGCUAGCUGGUUCUCCCCGAAAUGCGUUUUGGCGCAGCGGUAAAUGUUAUAAUCUAGGGGUAAAGCACUGUUACGUAUGCGGGCUGGUAAUUCGGUACCAAAUCGUUGCAAACUAAGAAUACUAGAUGUAUAGUUUACCAGUAAGACUGUGGGGGAUAAGCUCCAUUGUCAAGAGGGAAACAGCCCAGAGCACCAGUUAAGGCCCUUAAAUAAUUACUAAGUGGUAAAGGAGGUGGGAGUGCAUAGACAAUCAGGAGGUUUGCUUAGAAGCAGCAAUCCUUUAAAGAGUGCGUAAUAGCUCACUGAUCGAGUAAACCUGCGCCGAAAAUGUAUGGGACUAAGUAAUUUGCCGAAACUGUGCGAUAUAUAUUUAUAUAUCGGUAGGGGAGCGUUCUGUUGUAGGUCGAAGUAUUAGCGUAAGCGGAUAUGGACGAAGCAGAAGUGAGAAUGUCGGCUUGAGUAACGAAAAUAUAGGUGAGAAUCCUAUACCCCGAAAACCCAAGGUUUCCUCCGGAAGGCUCGUCCGCGGAGGGUAAGUCAGGACCUAAGGCGAGGCUGAAAAGCGUAGUCGAUGGACAACGGGUUAAUAUUCCCGUACCAUUUUUUAUUGAUAUCGAGGGACGGAGAAGGCUAAGCUAGCCGGAUAUUGGUUUUACCGGUUUAAACGUUCGAGAUGUUGAGAAGCGGCGAAAACGCUUUGAGUUGAGACGUGAAUACGAGACACUAAGGUGUUGAAGUAGUGUAUGUCAUACUUCCAAGAAAAGCUUGCACUGUCAUAAAUAAAAAAUGCCUGUACCAUAACCGACACAGGUGGGUAGGUAGAGUAUACUAAGGGGCGCGAGAUAACUCUCUCUAAGGAACUCGGCAAAAUAACUCCGUAACUUCGGGAGAAGGAGUGCCUUAUUUAUAAGGUUGCAAUAACAAGAUCCAAGCAACUGUUUAUCAAAAACACAGGUCUCCGCUAAGUCGUAAGACGAUGUAUGGGGGCUGACGCCUGCCCAGUGCCAGAAGGUUAAAGAAGUUGGUUAGCAAUAGCGAAGCUGGUAACUGAAGCCCUGGUGAACGGCGGCCGUAACAAUAACGGUCCUAAGGUAGCGAAAUUCCUUGUCGGGU